rnacentral:rRNA from 1 species
GGAGGAAUAUUGGUCAAUGGGCGAGAGCCUGAACCAGCCAAGUCGCGUGAAGGAUGAAGGUUCUAUGGAUUGUAAACUUCUUUUGUCCGAGGGUAAAAAAGGCCACGUGUGGCUUCUUGCAAGUAUCGGACGAAUAAGCAUCGGCUAACUCCGUGCCAGCAGCCGCGGUAAUACGGAGGAUGCGAGCGUUAUCCGGAUUUAUUGGGUUUAAAGGGUGCGUAGGUGGUUUGUUAAGUUUGUGGUGAAAGCGUGCGGCUCAACCGUACCAAGCCAUGAAAACUGGCGAACUUGAGUGCAAACGAGGUAGGCGGAAUGUGUUGUGUAGCGGUGAAAUGCAUAGAUAUGACGCAGAACUCCGAUUGCGAAGGCAGCUUUCCAGCACGCCACUGACGCUGA